GUUUUAAUAGUUUAACAAAAACAUUGGUCUUGUAAAUCAAAAAUAAAAAUAAUUUUUUUUAAAGCU
rnacentral:tRNA from 1 species